rnacentral:misc_RNA from 1 species
UAUUAGCAGCAAAGUGCAACUUGAAACAUCUUACUUUGAUUUAUAUAAUGUAACAAAUAUCCAAAAAUCCUGCUCUGUCUUGAAAUCAAGUCGAAUCAAUAUGACCAACGAAUCCGAGGUAGUGUCAAGAUUUUUGUCAACGAAAAAUAUUCACUUGCCAUCAUCGAAUGAUUGGUUGGACGGCUGUAUUGAAUGGUUCAAGAGUCAACAAGAAAAUUAUUCAACUUCUGAACUUCAAAAGUUUGCUCUGCAGCAAUGGCUUUUAGCGGAUCUAAAGAUGAUCAGUCACGGGUCUCUACCACCAAAUCUGUCAGAUAUAAAUAGUAUUAUGUUAACUGGAACUUAUCCUAUGCAGAUAAACUAUUUUUUCAACGUUGGAGAGUCUGCCUACAGUCAGUAUGAAAAGAUGCGUAAACUGUGUUUGGAUGAUCAGCAAAUUGGAGCUGAGACGCAAGCCAGUUGGAUGCCAAAACCCAAACGUAUGUUAAAAAUGGAAAUCACCGACGGGGUUCAAACCAUUCAAGGCUUUGAAUACUCUUAUCUAACUAAGCUGAAUGAGUCCAUGGAACCUGGGCUCAAGGUGGUAGUCAAAGGUCCUGUAGAGUGUAGAAAAGGUGUGCUUCUUUUGAAAGAUAAUAACAUUGAGAUUUUAGGCGGCGAACUGGACACAUUGGUUGAAUCAAAUCCAGUUGCUCACAUCAUAGCCGAAAAAUUACAAUUCGAUCCAAAUGUUGUUAAAAAUAAUAUAGCUCAAACAGAUAAUACAACCCAGCUAUUUUCUCAAGUAAAUGUGGGGAACGAAAAUCGAGCACCUAAUACAAAUCAUAUGCAGCCUGUUGAUGAGCGAAAUCUGUUGGACUCGGACGAUGAUGACAUAUUCCUGAGCGUGCAACCUGACAACGACACCGCCAACCUGAACAAUGUUACACACCGUAACAACCCGGCGCCCACAUCUCAGUCAACUAGUAACGGACAUUUUGAAACUGUGGACUUACUUGAUGACGACAUAGAUAUACCCUUUGAAAAUGGCGAUAUCUAUGAGAAUAAUGUUGCGACUAACUUGAAUAACUCGAGAAUGUAUAAUGAACGUGAUUGGUCAAACGACGCUCGCUUUGAUAUUUCAGAUGACAUUGUGGAAACAACUCCUAGUUUUCCGAGCACAUCAUAUCCACAGUCUCAUUCUUCAAGCAGCAGUUCAAGAAAUACAGAACCAGUGUCCAGCAAAAGUGUGAGUAGGCCGCCUAGCAUGUCUACUGUUGCAAGUGACAAUAAGACUUCUGCAUCUCUAGUGAGAAACACAACAUCUCAACAGCCGUCCAUGACGUCAUCUUCAGUUACUAGAAGAACAAAUGAAGAAAGGAUUGAGACCAUUCCCAUUGAAAGAACCAUGACUGUUAACUGCAAAGUGGAAAAAUGGAAAUCGAAACUAAUGGUUCAGGAUGGAAAUUGGAAUUUGAAAGUUUCACUCCUGAUAAUUGGCCAGAAAAUUGUGGAUGCUUCCUUUGAGGUCGAUGUCUUGAAUAAGCUUAUAGGAUUUAGUUAUGCAGAAAUGUUGGCUAGAAAUAGGGAAAUGGCUGUUAAUCCUGCAUUAAAAGAAAUGUUUGAGAAGAUUUUCAAAGCUGCUCAAUUAUCAAUUAAAAACUUGAAAUGUAAAAUGACGCUCCAAAAAUCAUCCGAUGGAGAAUCAUUCACAAUAAUCGACGUUGAUGAAUCAUAAGCGAAACACACUAUCCAAAGCAUUUGAAAGAUUCAUCAACCCGAGAAGACAUUGAUUCUUACACUUGUAAAAGUAUUAAUAUUCCACUAUACUAACCCUGAGCAGCGGCAAGCGCAGCUAUCGUAUUAAAUUUACUUAUAAAACAAUGCGACAUCCACAAAAACAUCAUGACUUGUCAAUAGUUACAUCUGGUAACACCUAAUAUUAUUGCUGACGCUGUAUUCCAUUGUAAUGCUCGAUCAUAGUACUUUUAGUCAGUCUACUGCCAAACUUCACCGAGAGCACUUCUCUCUUUUUCGAUGUAUAUUUUAUAAUUAUGUGUUUGAAAAUAAAGUUUUCUUUUUAAAAA